UUUGGGCAAGUGAUGAACACAACUAUUAUUUAAUGGGUAAUUUGCGUCUGAAUUAUUUCUUUGAUGCUAUUAUCACCUUGGAGAACUGAUGCCUUGA
rfam:Citrus sinensis cultivar Ridge Pineapple sweet orange scaffold00134_contig_10, whole genome shotgun sequence.